rnacentral:rRNA from 1 species
UGGGGAAUUUUCCGCAAUGGGCGAAAGCCUGACGGAGCAAUACCGCGUGCGGGAGGAAGGCCUUUGGGUCGUAAACCGCUUUUAACAGGGAAGAAGAUCUGACGGUACCUGUUGAAUAAGCCUCGGCUAACUCCGUGCCAGCAGCCGCGGUAAGACGGAGGAGGCAAGCGUUAUCCGGAAUUAUUGGGCGUAAAGCGUCCGCAGGUGGCCUAUUAAGUCUGUUGUUAAAGCCCAGGGCUCAACUCUGGAUCAGCAAUGGAAACUGAAAGGCUAGAGUACGGUAGGGGUAGAGGGAAUUCCCAGUGUAGCGGUGAAAUGCGUAGAUAUUGGGAAGAACACCAGUGGCGAAGGCGCUCUGCUGGGCCGUAACUGACACUCAUGGACGAAAGCUA